AUGGAUCCUAUAGGGGAUCCUAUGGAUCCUAUAGGGGAUCCGGCACGGCCCCGGCACGCCAUCCCGGGAUCCUAUGGAUCCUAUAGGGGAUCCGGCACGGCCCCGGCACACGCCGGCCCCGACACACCGACCCGGGAUCCUAUGGAUCCUAUAGGGGAUCCGCCACGGCCCCGGCACACCAUCCCCAGAUCCUAUGGAUCCUAUAGGGGAUCCUGUAAGGCAUCCCAAAUCCCCCUAUGGAAAAUCCCAAAUUCCCUAUGGAAAAUCCCCUAUGGAAAAUCGCAAAUCCCCCUAUGGAAAAUGCCAAAUUCCCCUAUGGAAAAUCCCAAAUCCCCCUAUGGAAAAUGCCAAAUUCCCUAUGGAAAAUACCAAAUUCCCUAUGGAAAAUCCCCUAUGGAAAAUCCCAAAUCCCCCUAUGGAAAUCCCAAAUCCCCCUAUGGAAAUCCCAAAUCCCCCCAUGGAAAAUCCCAAAUUCCCUAUGGAAAAUCCCCUAUGGAAAAUCCGCCAUGGACGAGCCGGGUCCCUCCGGACGAAGCCCCGGAGCAGAGCCCAGGUCGAGGCCGCUGAGGGACAAAAUCCGGAGCAAAAACGGAAUUUUGGGGCUUUUUUGGAGUUUUUUGGGAAUUCUGGAGCCUCUUUUGGGGAGUAUUUGUGAUUUUUUUGGGACUUUUUUUUUAGUGAUUUAAUUUUUUUUAAAAUUUUUUUGAUGUUGUUUUUUGGAGCUUUUAAAGGAUUUUUUAUUCUUUUUGGAGCCUUUUUUAAUAUUUUUUUUCCUUUUUCAAGGUUUUUUUCAUCUUUUGGGGACGAUUUCCCAUCUUUAAAUACAAAUUCCUCACUCCUGUGCAUUUCUUUCCUUCCAAUAAAUAUGAAUCAAGAUUUGGCA
rnacentral:lncRNA from 1 species